CAGCAUUUCUGAUCCUGUUUCUGACCUAAAAUUACCUGAAAUUAGAGUGUGCCCGCCCGAGCGAGUGAUGCCUAAAACAUGCAAAGACACGUCAGUGUAAUUGUGGAUGGCGAGAGCCCUGAAAUACAGCUGGACAGCAGCGGUCUACAUCACUGCCCCUUCUGCAGAUACAAAGGGUCAAAAUGUGAUAUCGACCAUCACAUUAAAUGCCAUGCCUCGGUUAAAUACAGAGGUCUGCAGAGGAGCUUUCAGGAAGCAGGAAGAGAAGACGGGAGGAAAAAAAGCUACAGGAUAAAGAUCUCUGCACAAAAAGGGCUAGAGUUGCUCCAACAGCAUCCAGCUCUGAAGGAUCAGGUCAUGUAUAGACUGUUAAUCCAGACAAAACUGAAGACCAGGAACUGGAACCUGGGAACCUGGUAUAUAAUAUGUGUGUAAUGUUGGAGGUUGUUUGUAUAGCCAGAUGAAAUUGUCUGAUGACUAGUUGAAUAGUGUUUUUUAUCACUGAAAACUCAUCAGUAGUAGUAGCCUUUGUUUGCAUACCAUUUUGUGGUUUUG